GAUGGAGGCCAAAUUCUAAGCGGUGCGAGGAAAAUCGCCGAAGUGAAGGGAAUCGUCGACGAUGAUGACGAAGAUACGCUCUUGCUUCUCAAGGAACUGUUAUCAAGGAUUAAUUCCGAGGUAUGUCUCCUUUCAUCCUUUCAGGUUUAUUUUUUCAUCUUUUUUCCCUGGUGGAUUCUCUACUUGCAGGCUUAUGUUCUAAAGUUGUCUCCGUGAUCUUUACUGAAAGAAUAUUGGCUGUGAACUUUGUGACAAUUGCAGGAACUCAACAUUAACU
rnacentral:lncRNA from 1 species